AAUUGCGGUCAGUUUUAUUUACUGUAUGGAUGCGCUUUAAACAACAUCAAACUUAAACAUCUUUCACUAUUCUAUCCAAUGAAACCUGUCACAUGUGUUUGUCUCUUCCGUUGUUUACAUACGGUCCUCGCUGGCGCACAUGUAUUUUCGGCGCGCACCUACAAUGACAGUCACUUUGAGUAAUACGCGAGAUGCAACCAGGGUGUACAAGUCGAUAAAUUCAGUCCCACACCAUGUUAUCUGAGAGGGUGUAAAAUAGCGACGACCGAGAUAACGCAGAAUAUUAAUCAAAGACGCUUAAACUGACGCGUUUUUACGAUUUGAGGAGCAUAAUGUCGACAUGUACAGUGUGCAGUCUCACUGUCAAUUCCCCGGAACAGCUGCAGCAGCAUAUGAAAGGAAAAGCACACAAGAAGAAGAUGAUGGCUGCAGGACUGCCUGUGGAGGGACUGACGAGCACACCAGGAGUAGGUGCAGUUUCACAGGAACAAGAG